GAUUUCAAAAUCCACGAAAAUUGAAAAAUUUGAUGAUUUACAACAAAGGAGGCUGUACAAAUACAUCACCUGGGAUUGGUGACGUUAAAUUUGUAAAAGAUCUGAUCACUGAUAACGUUGUGACAACAAAUUUUCGUUGUUCAAAAUUUGGUUUGGCAUAUAAAUGAAAGAACAAACUUUGAUGGGCAAAAUGAACGAUUGUUUAAACAGACCCUGUCCGUGGGGAUUUUCUUUUCACGACAAGUUUCCCAUUCAAAUUGACUUUUCUGGAACAUUCAGCUACAGCACAACGAAUCAAAUUUCUGGGAUAAACUUUGGAGCGACGGCAUUAGUUGGCUGUGACAACAG